CUAAAACUAAUAAUAAUAAAAACAAGGUUUAAACACCAAACACACUAAAAGGAGUGUGUCUGGUCGAUCUAAACAUCAGGAGCGAACAGGAGCUUCCCCACCAAACCCUAACUUGUGCAAAUUGAUCAAAUUGGGGCUUCAAAUCAGUUCCAAAUCGAUUUCCAAGCACGAAAUUGUCAUCUCCAUUGAAAGGGGAGUCAUAAGUUUGAUCUCGUCAAACUAAGUGGGAGCUGGAAAGGAAUGGAUCAAACGGGUCAAGUGCGCAAGGAAAGCUCGAACGGACGCAAACUGUACAUUUUGGAUGCCGGAAGACGAUCAAGCUCAACGAAGAACCGAACACGAAUAAGAUAAAAGCUUCCGCACGUCGUUUCGUCGUAACUUUUAAACGACGAACUCAAUUAUGUUAUGUUGUAUUAUUUUAAAAUUGUAAAGUUUAAACAAACCCGUAUUUUUACAAAGUAUAUGUAGUCAUAAUUACAUGUUGUUUGUCGUAUACUUUACGAAAACCAUUAAAUAAUGACAAGGGUGUUACAAGUUGGUAAUCAGAGCUCAUGGUUA
rnacentral:lncRNA from 1 species